CUGACUUAGACAUUUUUUGAAUAUUAAAUUAUUAGAAAUACAUCCAAUGGCCAUGCCUAUCGUAAAAAGGAGGGGUUAAUUGAGUUAAAAAAACCUCACAUUUUUUCAUCUAUUUUGAACUCCAUUUCAUCCUUUACAGUGAAAGCUAGCAUACAACAGAAAUAUUACUUGUGAAACUUAUGGAUUCUGUUGUUCUUUGUUUGCUACAGACAUACGGCUAGUUCGUCCUUUAGUCGAGAACGAGUGAUUUUUGAUCGCUUCGAGCACAUCUUGUGUUUCAUGGAGAACAGGCUCUAAUAGCAGACUAUCUUCAAACUUAUCCUGAAUCUCAUUUUUUAAUCGAUCUCAAAUUUAUGUUUUACAGUUUCUUGUUUUUGAUGCAGGACUUUCUCAGAGUGUCUCGAUGGUAUUCAUAUAAAAAAUAAUCAUGAUUUCAGUACUAGCUUUGGGCUGCUGAAAACACACACGCGUUUGGAAUGCAGACAAAUUGCCACAUUUUUCGGGGAAACUUUUGUUAAAGUUCGAGUCAAGCAGUCCCUUAAUACUUGCUAGACUA